rnacentral:tRNA from 1 species
GGAGGCUCAGUGGUACAGCGCUUGCCUUGCAUGCAAGAGGCCCUGGGUUCGACUCAGAGGCACCA